UGCAAGUCGAGCGGACCGAAGGGAGCUUGCUCCUUUAGGUUAGCGGCGGACGGGUGAGUAACACGUGGGCAACCUGCCCUGCAGACUGGGAUAACUUCGGGAAACCGGAGCUAAUACCGGAUAACACCGAAAACCGCAUGGUUUUCGGUUGAAAGGCGGCUUUUACCUGUCACUGCAGGAUGGGCCCGCGGCGCAUUAGCUAUUUGGUGAGGUAACGGCUCACCAAGGCGACAAUGCGUACCCAACCUGAAAGGGUGACCGGCCACACUGGGACUGAAACCCGGCCCAAACUCCUACGGGAGGCA
rnacentral:rRNA from 1 species